AGGACUCCAGAGGAUAUGCUUUGGGUUAAUUUGUGGCGCCAAAUCCUCACACUCUCUCCUCCAAAGUCCAAACCCACAAAUCCCAAACACCAUGACUCUCUGCAACUACAACCCAUUUCUCUCCAAAAACCCAAUCUUCUCACUCCCAUUUCAUCCCACCACCAAAACCCAACUCCCCAUUUCCUCGCUUUGCUGCUCAGCAAACCCCUCCCCUGUCCCUGACCCCAAUCCCAGCACCAACAGCAGCAACAGUGACACCAACAAUGGCGGCGGUGGGCCCAAGAAGAAGCUUUCAGACCAGUCCUCGUGGGAGGCCGAGGACUCCGAGGGAAGCGACUACUUGUACAGGUUGGGCAAAGAGGCCGACAACAUGAACAUCGCCGUCGGAGCCCGGGCUGGCCUCGUCGACGACCUCUUCGUCGGCAAGUUCCUCGGCCGAGACUCGGAUAUUGUGUUUGAUUAUCGGCAGAAGGUCACCAGGUCCUUUCAGUACCUUCAGGGCGAUUAUUACAUUGCGCCUCUGUUCAUGGAUAAAGUUGUUUGCCAUAUUGCGAAGAACUACCUUGCUCAUCUUCUCAAUACUAAAGUUCCUUUAAUCCUAGGUAUUUGGGGAGGUAAAGGACAAGGAAAAUCAUUUCAGACUGAACUUAUUUUCCAAGCCAUGGGAGUUGAACCUGUAAUUAUGUCUGCUGGAGAAUUAGAAUCAGAAAGAGCUGGAGAACCAGGAAAACUGAUACGCGACCGCUAUAGAACUGCCUCUCAAGUGGUCCGGAACCAAGGCAAGAUGAGCUGCUUGAUGAUCAAUGACAUUGAUGCUGGCCUUGGUAGAUUUGGAAACACUCAAAUGACAGUCAAUAAUCAAAUUGUUGUUGGAACAUUGAUGAAUCUAUGUGAUAAUCCUACAAGAGUUAGUAUUGGACAAGACUGGCGAGAAUCAGACAUUACAAACAGAAUUCCUAUCAUUGUUACAGGAAAUGAUUUGUCAACAAUUUAUGCUCCCUUAAUCCGUGAUGGAAGGAUGGAAAAGUUUUACUGGCAGCCUAACCACGAGGAUAUCAUUAAUAUUGUUCACAGAAUGUAUGAGAAAGAUGGCAUGUCUAGGGAUGAAGUUGUAAGUAUAGUGGACACUUUUCCUAAUCAAGCACUGGAUUUCUAUGGAGCUUUGAGGUCUCGAACAUAUGACCGGUCAAUUUCUAAGUGGGUUGAAGAUAUUGGUGGUGUUCAAAGUCUGGGAGACAAACUUGUAAAGCGAAGAAAAAAUGACAACCUUCCUGCGUUUACUCCUCCAAAGCAAACAAUUGAGGCUUUACUUGAAUCAGGCUAUUCUCUGCUCAAAGAACAGCAAUUGAUAAUGGAGACUAAACUUUCAAAGGAAUACAUGAAGAACAUGGAUGACUAGAACUUGGGAUGUCAUUGUUAUGCCUUGUAAUUUUGUUCUGUUAUGCAAGGACAAAUCCAACGGCGAGCGUGUGUUUAUCGCUAAUGGUAAAACUGUAUUUUCCGUCGUAUUUGGAUGAAGUUUUGUUUUUCUUUUAUAUUUCUGGUUUGAUCA